CUUAUUUUUCGGCCGAUUUCAGACUCAAAAUGUUCUUAUUUUGUUCUUAUUUUUACAUACUUUUCAAAUAUAGAAAAUCAUAUCGUACAGCAGUAUACACACAGUACUGGAAUGAAGUUAAAAGUGGCCCUGGAAAAAUGGCAACUGAAAAAAAGGCCCCGAAAAAAGGCCCUGGUAAAAAUGACUCCAAACGACUGAAGUUGCAAACGGGAAAGGAGAGGAGAGAAGCUGAACUUUAUAAGCACGAAGACCUCCGAGCUCUUGUGAUGCAUGGUCGAUCGGUCGCGGAUGCACUGACAAAUGGACCACACAACUGAGAGGAUACCUUCGCUUCUUAAAGCCAGGCUCCGGAGGAAAAUUUUAUUUUUAUACCAAAUCCAAUUAAGCAGUCUACAAGCCUUGCAACAUUAAAAUUUAAUCUUAAGUAGGCCUAUUCUCUGUCAAAUAUCAUCCUUUAUUCUAAUGACUGGUGAAGUGCUAAAUGAAUAAUUCAUUUGGAUUCAAUCAAUCCAGUGGCGAAUCCCCACUGGAUUAAUUGACAAAACCUGAAAGUAACCAUCUUAACGAUUAGUUUCAGAAAUUGAAUUGAAAUUCUCUACUUUCGAUGGCAUCUGUAUUUAUAGGCUCUCUAGUGAACAUUGUGCCAAUAAAAAAUGGCGUCAGUCUUAGUGUGCAAUACCCACAUAAAACAUUCUGUUAGGCAUUCACAAUAAAAAUCACUUUCAGGAACAGAAAUUCCAGGAGAACUCUAUAGCUAUAUUAUCAUCACCAUGGCUUUCAUCACAGUUUGGAGUUGGAUUUAUAAAGGAAAAUUGAAAUGAUAGGGUCGUUUAUAAGACUGCAGGGAUAAUUAUUUAUGUCACGUGUGCUAAUGAAGGAAUUCUUUUAGUGGAUGGAUAUACCGUUUGAUUAUUAAUCUUCAGAAUUUUGAUAAAGUUUAAGGCCAACAUAAGGCAGGUGGGCAUUUUGCACGACCACAAGUCAAAACCUUUUAACAGCUUAUUACGCCAAUGUCAAGAUGAUAUCAUCGAGGGAUCAGCUGUGCUAUUAAUACUAUCGACCGAUUCUAUUGCAUUAAUUGUUUCGUUCUCGCCAAUGAUUCCUUUACUCAUUAAUUUGUUAGUAGUUUGCGAGGUUAGGUAACGAUCCUCAUAAUCUUUAAAGAGGUAAUCGUUAUGCAUGUCCUGAAAAGUUGUCUUCCUUGAAGGACAAACACAAUGAUAACGAUAAAAUUUCGAUUAGAUUUAUACCGGUGUUAUUAUCGAUUAUACGAAUACAAUAAAAAGGAGGAGAAAGAAUA